rnacentral:rRNA from 1 species
AUUGAACGCUGGCGGCAGGCCUAACACAUGCAAGUCGAACGAGUGGCGGACGGGUGAGUAAUGUCUGGGAAACUGCCCGAUGGCGGGGGAUAACUACUGGAAACGGUAGCUAAUACCGCAUACCAUCGGAUGUGCCCAGAUGGGAUUAGCUAGUAGGUGUGGUAACGGCUCACCUAGGCGACGAUCCAUAGCUGGUCUGAGAGGAUGACCAGCCACACUGGAACUGAGAAACGGUCCAGACUCCUACGGGAGGCAGCAGUGGGGAAUAUUGGACAAGGGGCGCAAGCCUGAUGCAGCCAUGCCGCGUGUAUGAAGAAGGUCUUCGGGUUGUAAAGUACUUUCAGCGAGGAGGCGUUACUCGAAGAAGAAGCACCGGCUAACUCCGUGCCAGCAGCCGCGGUAAUUA